rnacentral:misc_RNA from 1 species
AGACAAUUUCUUCACCCUUUCUAUUUUCUCUUCUAACAACUUAUCCAAUUUCUUCAAUUUCUGAUACAGCAACUCCUCUUCAUGUUCUUUUAAUCUUCUGUCAAUAAUUUCAAGCAGUCUGAUACAUGUCUAAUAUUGUUUGGUGGGUUGAUUUGUAUAAAACAGGAACAAACUCUGUAAUUUGGUAUGGUUAAUGUCAAUGAAGUCUUGAUUCUUCUCGCUGUUCAUUCUUUUCCUUCCUAAAUUCUUCGGUCUUCCAUGUUUUCUCCCCUUUCUGGUUCACUUUCUCCUAGAUUUGCAUCAUUGGUAUCAGGGCCAACGAUCCUUGGCCAUGGAUUUCUGUCGGUAGUUCUUCUUUUCUUUCUCCUUUCUUGAAUCUAGGUUUUUCCUCCUCUGUUCUUUCCAUUAAUUCUCAUUUCUCAUUCUUCCCAUUUUUCUCUGUUGUAAUUUCUUGAGAUUUCGCUUACUAGGAAACCAAUUCAAUUUCUUGAUUCUUGAUUCCUUCUUGCACAAAACUUCUUCCCAUUUGUCUAUACAAAACCCCAUUUGAUUACACAAAAUUUCUGCCAUUAUGAUCCUUGCCCUUAGAGCCAUCAUAUCUUCGUUCCCAUAAUUUCAAUUUCAGAACACCAUAACAAGUAUCUUUGCAAGCUGGAGCAAGGCCAGCCUCUGUUGUUGGAGCACGAAGUGUUGUUCCCGGAUCCUUUGUUGUUGCCUCCAAUUCAACCAAAUGUGUCUCAUUCUCUGCAGUUACGAACCAGUAACCCCAUGGGCUGAUUUCCCAAGUUACAACACCUUUCCAUGGUACAAAUUCAUAGAAAAUUCCAUCAUAAUGCACUCCAAUCAACGCAGCAUUUUCAAAGGUCUCAGUUAGUCCAGGCAAUUGCCUCAGCCCACCACCCACAGUCAAAGCAACUUCUCCGCUUGCACCUUCAAAGACAUUACACUGAGCCCAAAACCAUUUCCUUGGAAAGCCUCCACCCCAGUUCUUUUCUGAGUAAGAAGGUGCAUCUUUGAACUCAAAUCUUUCACCAUCCCACUCUAUCCAGCCUGUUGAAAGUCCGGCUGCCAUGCAUAUUUGCCAAUGGGGUUCAAAUACAGGAAAUGCAGCAAGCCAGCCUGCAGUGGACUGUUGUUUGGAUCCCACAUUACCCCAUCCAUAAACAGGGCGAGUACUGUACUCCCAACGUGCAGUUUUCACAGUUUUCACAUAAUCUGACCUGCCAUCAUCACGAAUAAAACCUUGAUUCCAUAAUGGGGUGACUUGAAAACCUUCUGAAACCAUUCUAUUAAAGUCCUGAGGAGGAACCUCCUUGGAUGGAGGCUGCAUGCCUUUCUCGGCCACAAAAGUAUUCCCCAACAUCAGUUCAUGCCUACUUCCCCAGAAGUUCUGAGAUUCUUCAGAAUAUUGACAUAUAUACUUGUCAGAAGCCCCGAGAAUUUGAGCACCAACUCCAGUGGAUCUGGGUCCAUGCUGUGCCACUUCCAAGGGCGACAAUUUCUUCCGAAAUGCUGGAUUCUCCACAGAAUACAUGAAACAAAAGCUCUCCUUCCGCUCAGGAAUAGAGACCUUGAAGUACCAACCCUCAAAAAAUUGCCGCGUGGUUCCAUCAAAAUGGUACCCGCUGUGAGGAGUUCGAAGCUCACGGUUGGGAGGAGUGGCGACAUAAACGGGACUCGCAGAGGCCACACCCUCAGUACCUCCUCUUUCAACAGUCGAAGUUUGACGGUCAGUCACCGAAUUGGAAACCAAGAGUCGGGACCUCGAUGAUCGAAACCCUACUUGCAGUGACCGCCAAUGAAUUCCGACGGAGCUUUGAUUCAAACGGAAAGGUUUAAGGGUGGAACAAGGGUUUAGAGCAGGAAAUCCCAUAUUGGAAGAGAAAUGGUGAAGAUGGUAGAGCGAGCAUUGGAAGUUAGCUUCCAUUGUUGGAUUACAGAAAAUUAACAGUAGAUAACUGAGCUUAAAUUCUAUAAAACUUUUAGAAGAAAACCGAAAAUUUCAUGGAAAAUGUUUCAAGCGAUCCUUAGAAAACAUAUUU